UGUUCUUCCGGCCUGUGUGCUGCCUGAACUGCUCCUGCCUUUGCAAACGCACCGCUGAUACUUGACCUGUGAUCUGACAAAUAAAUUUCCCAGAACGAGAGAAGUCGUUCGGCUGAAUUUUUGAUAACCCCGACCAGGCUCCAAUUCUUGAACACGUACUCUUACAAUGCAUGAGAAGACCAGGCGUGCAUGGGUCCUCUAAACUAUCUGGUCCAAACAACAACCAGUCAGACUGCAUACUUCGAUGGUGACGUGAGGACACACCCUCUCUGAUGAAGGACAACAAGCUGCGCCACUUCACUCCGUCUGAUGGAAGUUAAAGUGAAGCACGGAGCUCCUUUUUUACACAGACUUGCUGAGGACAAAGAGAGCUGCACACUGAGCAAGCUCAUGUUUACAAGUUCAGUUGUGGUGAACAUGUGAAGGUGUGGACCCUGCUAUGAAUCAGGGUGAGGACCGAGAGGAGGGAGUCCCUCCCAAUGAAGCCUCUCUGUGUGGGGAACUUGACAGCCAGACCAAAGCUCAGAGGAUCCAUCAGAGACCAGGACCUGGACCUGGAGCUGGAUCAAGCCCUGAACUCACUUGUGUGUCCUUGAAGAAUAACGGGCGUCUCCGAGCAGUAAAAAAGCUAGUUUUUAUACACAUGAAGACCAUCGUCAGUGCCAGUUUACGAGAAGCCACAAAGCAAGUUAAGAUAAGAACUCAGGUGAAGAUGAGGGUAACACACAAUGCUUCUUUGAUCAAGGGUCUGUGAGAGCAAGUUAACCCCCUUCUCCAGACACAGCUGCAAACCCUAAAUCUUUCUGUCUCUGCACAUCAGGAUCAAACACUUGAGACCUGGCUUUUAGCACCAGACAAAUGUUUACAACAUGUUUACUACAUGCAUCUCACAUAACACCUCUUGCACUUCUUCCACUAUGUCGUCUUAUCUGUCUUGUUGUCCAUUGUCUGAUGGUACGUUCACACCAAAAGACGCGGCGCGUGGGAAGUGAAAAAGCGAAACGAGCAAAGCGAAUAAAUCGCUCUUUCGCCCGACGCUGUCUAGCGAAAGCCAAUCAGUGUUGAGAUGCUCGGCUCGUCAUCACCGCCGUCCUGCUGCCACAGCGUGAUUACACUUUAUUAAACAGCCGCUCACCGGAGACACACACACGGCUGAGACUGAACGCCUGUAAUUUAGUUAGUGUGUAACCGAGAGACGCACCGAUCCGACACAACAGGUCAUCAGACUGGCUGCUGGUCCGCCUGAAGCCGCAGUCAUCCAGUCGCACUUCCUGGAGGAGUCGGUGAAAUUCAAGCUGUGUGCGGUGAACGAUGAUGUCAUGAACCCGAACACAACGCGUUUGCGGUUCCGACGUUUGUGUAAUUCACACAACAAAUAAAGAGCAGAAGUAGUGGUUAUUUAUUGCCAUGGUGGAAACGAUAGCGGUCUUUACGGAGACACGUAAAGCCUAGUUUAUGCUUCUGCGUUUUCAGAGCGACGCAGACGCAAGACCCCCUUUUCACACCUCCUUGCGUCCUUACGUGCAUCGACCCAUUUCUCUAGGCUUUGGUCGAAAGCGACGGAUGAUCAGAUUUAAGAACUUGGAACUCGGAAGAAAUGCAAAAAUAUGACCACUUACAAGCCGUCAUUGGCGGGUUGUAGAAGCGGGUUGUAGAAGCGAGUUGGAUUCAUGGAGGGAGAUCUCCACAAACGUCGGUUUGCCGGUCGAGAGGUGCACAAAGUUGUGGAGGAAAAUACGGGACAAACGUGUGCGCGAUGAAAAGUAGUGUUGACGAACUGACCGAAGAGCCGGUUAAAUAACCCGAUUCGUGUACGUGAACCGGGAGAAUUGGGUGCCAAACGUCAAUGAACCGACUCACUCCGGUUUUCAACCACUCAUUCGUGCCGGCGCUUCAGUGGCUUGAGCGCGCGGUCGGUGUAUGCUCCGUGGUCUGUAAUCUGGUUUUAUUCUGUGUGUAGUAGGCUAAUCUAGCUCAUUAGCGCCUCCACUGGAGUGGUGGUAGAAUCAAUCAGGAAAUGGGCUACCUUGAUCACGCACGACUGAACCUUAAGAGACUCCUGUACAGUUGGUGGCGGUAUACUACAGAGAUAGUCAUCUACCAAGAAACAAACGAAGAAGAAAAGAACCGUAACAACCGAGUUGAACCGAGUUGUUGAAGUGUUGUGGAAGCACGGUUGCGGUGUGACCGUGAGAGCGACUCGGAUUGUUCCCGGUGACUGUUGACUCAAUCACUGAAUGCUGUACUACUAACGUGGAGAGCCAAUCCCAAGAGCCAUUGUAUAAGCCAUGUAUAAGUGCAUCGAAUAAAACGCUGUGAUAUAAUUUUGCUAUUUAAUGUUUGUGUUUAGAAAACACCACUUUGCAGUAGGCUAUUUUGUAACUGUUUAUAAUGCAGUGCACGGUAUUUAAGUCAUGAGGUCAGACCGGUCCUGCACUAUAACUGAGAAGUUAACGAACUCUUGCCGAAUGAAAAUUAACGGCAAGUUAGGUAGGCUAGGUUAGGUCUACCAAUUCACAACUCCCAUUAGGUUAGGCAGGGAAUAUUUCUAUCAUGAGAAGCUUACAGAUUUGAACACAUCACCAAGUAUUGAUAAACGGUCUACCAUAAUGUGUUUAGUUGUAUUCAGUAGAGUGUGAUUAGUCAUUUUAAUGACAUGUAAGAAGUUCUCAACCGUCUUGAACAAUUAAACAAAACAACUCUUCAGCAGUAUAGGUAGACCACACUCAUAAGUAUAGACUACAUUCAAAAAAUGUAGAACAUUUUAAUGACACUAACAAAAACACAACGACAACAAGUAGGAUAAGAAAAAAUAUAGGCUCACUAUCUAUUUACAAUUAUCAUAUGCAUGAUUCAAUGUGCAAUAGUAGGCCUACAAAGUGUCCAGUAUAGCAGCGAUUCUCAAAGUGUGGGCCGCAAGGUACUGCAGGUGGGCCGCGAGAGGUCAUUUACAAAAAAUUAAUAAACAGUUUUUAAUUUUCAAUUUUGAAAAGUUUGAAAUUAAUAUAAAAAUAUGUAUGAUGCGGCACAUUAGUUAUGUGAAACAUGAAUUGAUGAAACACAAACAAUUUAAAUGAACAGAUUAGUUAAUCGGUUGAUCCAUACUGGUUGUACACGGCGCUCAAGGUGCUCUGCCAAACAUGCCAAAGCUCGUCUACGACGGCGAGAUGCUGAGCGGCGCUCAAGCGUGUGAGAUAUGGAGCUUGUUUUAGGGCGCGUCGGAGAAACAAAGCGCCUUAUUGUGCGGAAAACACGGCACAUGAGCUCCGGAGAAAAUAGUAUACAAAACAUACAUUGUCGGUCAAUACAUUUUGAAUCAAAAUUAAAUUCUUAAGGUCAUUUAAUCAUCCCUAGUUUAUGUUUUGAUCAGAGUUGUGAUUAAGGUUUGGGUGGGCCGCAAAAGAUUUUCAGAUUUCAAAGUGGGCCGCGGCAUUCUUGAGUUUGGGAACUGCUGCAGUAUAGGAUAGCCUACAUUUAACAAAGUUGAAUAGUCAUUUUAACAACAACGUAACACAAAUAUAUAAAACAACAAUACAAAAUGUAAAUGAAGAGGGGAACAAGGAAAUAAAUAUAACUAUUUAAAAUUAGCCUGUGCAUAGUGCAAUAGGUCAUGUAGUGCAAAGUGUGCAGUUUAAGACUACACACACAAAAUAUUAAUAUACAAAGGCACAUUGUGCAUGUUUAGGGUAGGUUUGCAUUUAAAAAUACAAUUUGCCUGACCGUCUCAGGAUUAAGCCUGUUCCUCCUUUCUGUGACAAUCUGUCCUGUUUUUGAGAAAACGCUCUCAGAUGCAACAGAAGUGGCCACGAUGGAGAGUCUGGCCUUCACAACUGCAGUAAGACCCUCAUAGACCAUUUGCCUGGUCUUCCACCAAGCCAGCGGAUCCUCACUCCUGGAGAUGAGCGGUUCUGCCAAAUAGCCCCUCAUCUCCAUUAAGGCAUCUGAUGUGGGGUUUCUAGCAGUGACAGCCACAGCCACUCUUCUGUCAAAGUCCUCCCAAAAUAAUGCCUGGCUAGAAGGAGGAUCUUCUGCGCUGGCACCCUCUUCUUGUGGAGCAUCCACCUGCCCACUGGGCAUCCCUCUCAUCACCCCAACCACACUUUUGGAGGCUUCAUCAGCAGCCAUUGGAUGGUGGAAGGCCCGUUGCUUGAACCGUGGAUCAACCAGUGUAGCCUCAGGCAGCAGGGUAAAAUGCUCUAUCCUGUGAAACCUGGAAUCUCUGACAACAGCACAUUUACCAUGUCCACAGCACGACCUGGAGUGGAUAGGCCUCCAUGAAUGCGUUGCACUACUCUGUGUAGACCCCUUGCCAUUAAAAUGACUUUUGAUGCAGUCACAAAUCUUGUAAGGGUUGUGAGGUUGGGGUUCACCAAUGCCAGAGUUGAAAUUAUGGCAUCCUUCCGGUCAAGUACACGCUGUAGCAUGUAAAAAGUGGAAUUCCACCUAGUUGUGACAUCUUGCUUCAUUUUUAGCGGUUCGAGCCCCAUUUGUAGUUGAGUGGCACGUAGCCUUUCUGAUGUCACUGUGCUGCGGUGGACAUACUCUACGAUUGCUUUUCCUUUUGCGACAACAUCUUGAAAUGGUGUCAACGCUUGUUUUACUAUUAGGUUAAUAGUAUGGGCAAAGCAGGGCACAUACUUCCAGCCAACUGCAUUGAUGGCCGCUCUUAUGUUGCUGGCAUUGUCUGAGACGCAGGCCACCACCUUCCCUGUUAUGUCCCCUUCUGCAGCAAUCCUCACAAGCUCUGAUGCCAGAUUGUCAGCUGUGUGUCUUUCAGUCAGAGCAAAACAGUCAAGCAAUGUUGAAUCGAGCUUGAAGCUUUCAUCAAUGUAGUGGCAGGUGACAGCCAUGAACCUUGUCGUAUUCCUAGAAGUCCAACAGUCUGUUGUCAGACACACAUCUG
ensembl:lncRNA